UGAGAUGGCCUCGCGUCCGAUUAGCUAGUUGGUGAGGUAACGGCCCACCAAGGCGACGAUCGGUAGCCGGACUGAGAGGUUGAACGGCCACAUUGGGACUGAGACACGGCCCAGACUCCUACGGGAGGCAGCAGUGGGGAAUAUUGCACAAUGGGGGAAACCCUGAUGCAGCGACGCCGCGUGGAGGAAGAAGGUCUUCGGAUUGUAAACUCCUGUUGUUGGGGAAAAGAAGGAUGGUACCCAACAAGGAAGUGACGGCUAACUACGUGCCAGCAGCCGCGGUAAAACGUAGGUCACGAGCGUUGUCCGGAAUUACUGGGUGUAAAGGGAGCGCAGGCGGGUAUGCAAGUUGGGAGUGAAAUACAUGGGCUCAACCCAUGAACUGCUCUCAAAACUGUGUAUCUUGAGUAGUGCAGAGGUAGGCGGAAUUCCCGGUGUAGCGGUGGAAUGCGUAGAUAUCGGGAGGAACACCAGUGGCGAAGGCGGCCUACUGGGCACCAACUGACGCUGAGGCUCGAAAGUGUGGGUAGCAAACAGGAUUAGAUACCCUGGUAGUCCACACCGUAAACGAUGAUUACUAGGUGUUGGAGGAUAGACCCCUUCAGUGCCGCAG
rnacentral:rRNA from 1 species